AUUCUAUGUAUUAAACCGUUCUAUGAUUUUGGAUCAUUGUGUAUAUAUAUACAUAUAUACCUACUCUUUACAAGGGCACAAUGCACAAGGAUGAAAGAGUCUAAUGCAAAAUGAAGGGGAAGACUGAUCCUUGACCAAUCACAGGAGAAUCACCCUUCACACCCGAGUACAUUAAAUAACAAUGAAAUUUGCGAUUCUUCGUUGAAUUGCACGUUUGAACGCGUUCGAUCGAUUAAUCUGCCAACGGGCGUCAUUAGUAAAAUCCAAUGACGGUUUGAGCAACAUUAAAAAGCUUCUGUGAAACGGGUUAGCCGUCGAUAUACCAGUGUACGCCCGACACGGACCAUUUUUUUACUCUGGCAUAUCAAGCACUCAAAAGCGAACGUACACGCCGAUGGAUAAAUCAAUAAACCAAUAGCUAUGGAUGGUCGAAUGGAAAAUCGUAAUCUGGGAAAUAACGGAUGAUACAAUAGAGUUCGAGCCUCUUCAGAAUGUUUCCUUUAAAACGCUAAGCUUCUCCCACGAUUCUUAACAUCCUCGCCUUCGGAUGUUUCCACAAGUAUCUGAUUGAUCAACGGUAGCAGGUACACUUGCACAUUGAAUCUCCCCUACGGCUGUUUGCGUUUAGGGAGCAGAGAUCAAGAUCAAAAUCGCGUCUGUAUCGAGUUACAAUGUUUGCCAACAUCUACGAUCGGCAACACCAAGGAAACAGCUGAUCGAAUCGCUUCUGAUCGGAUAACAGAGAUUAGGAUACAGGUAGUUGCUACAGGACAGUGUUGUGCCAUCAAUUGACUCAAUCAGGAAUUGUCUAUGUAUUCAGAGAAGUUCCGAAAAAUGGUGUCGAAUCGGAACCGCCAUAGAGAUGGAUGCAUUUGCAGGGAUGUCAAUCUCCUGCGUGUGCUGACCGGUCCUGGACUUAAGUCACCGUCUGAUUACUAAGGAACCAUGGACUCCACGUGCCAUUAAACAGAACCGCCACUUGCUUCUUAAUAAAGUUCCAUCAUAGAAUCUUUGAUGUUUAAGGGUAGCUAAUGAAACGUGAAGAAGGAAUAAAGAUACAUUUUGGCAGAACCACGCGAAUGGAGGUGUAUAGUUGAAGAGGGUGAAAUGGGCGUGGUUAGCAACCCUUGGUGAGACAGUGUCGACCAAUGCCCGUACCCUUGGCCGAUAUCGCAACUGUUGCAAACGCAAGCGCCGUCAGGGUUGUUCUUGUGAAACUCUGGUGAUAGGUUGAUGUGCAAGGCUGUUUAAUGUAACGGGCGCAGACUCGACUUAGGGGACACUGUUCCAAAAGGUUACGCCUCGAAUUCACAUUGGUUAUGCAUCAACCCGUUCUUCCUCAAGCAUUUGCAACCCCUACUUUUCUUAAUCGUUAAAUUUGGUAACGUAUGUCAAAAUAAAAUAAAAUAAUUUCCA